rnacentral:rRNA from 1 species
GAGGGCCUAACUGUCUCCUGCGGCCAAUCAAUGAAAUUGAUCUCACAGUACAAACGCUGUGAUGUAGUUAUAAGACGAGAAGACCCUGUGGAGCUUUAAACCUGCUACAUUAACUAUAAUUACCCUAACCAUUAUUAGCAUAAUGUAAGUUUUAAGUUGGGGCGACUAUGGAGUAAAAACUAACCUCCAUGCAACACGACUAAACCUCGUCAUACACGGCUAACAAGCCCAGUCAAAACACUCGACCCAGUCAAACUGACCACCGAACCAAGUUACCCCAGGGAUAACAGCGCCAUCCCCUUAAAGAGUUCACAUCGC